rnacentral:rRNA from 1 species
AGCAGUAGCCGCGGUAAUACGUAGGUCCCGAGCGUUGUCCGGAUUUAUUGGGCGUAAAGCGAGCGCAGGCGGUUAGAUAAGUCUGAAGUUAAAGGCCGUGGCUUAACCAUAGUACGCUUUGGAAACUGUUUAACUUGAGUGCAAGAGGGGAGAGUGGAAUUCCAUGUGUAGCGGUGAAAUGCGUGGAUAUAUGGAGGAACACCGGUGGCGAAAGCGGCUCUCUGGCUUGUAACUGACGCUGAGGCUCGAAAGCGUGGGGAGCAAACAGGAUUAGAUACCCCCGUAGUCCCUGUCUCUUAUACA